rnacentral:rRNA from 1 species
AUGGCGCUAACGUUGCAACUCGUUGGUGCACCCGCAAUGGAUCAGGCCGGCUCCUACUCCACCUCCACCACGCCCCUGUUGCUCCUCCUCGGCUCCCUCACGCUCGCGGUCUCGCUGUUCGUGCUGAUUGGUCGCAGCAGCCAUGGACGCGGGAAGGCGGGGCUCCCGCCCGGCCCGCCCGCGCUCCUCUUCCUCGCCAAGUUCGUCGCGCUCCGGCGGUCCAUAUUCGACCUGGGCCCGCUGCUCGUCGACCUCCACGCGCGUCACGGCCCCGUCAUCUCCGUGCGCCUCUUCCGCACGCUCGUCUUCGUCGCCGACCGCAAGCUGGCCCACCGCGCGCUCGUCCAGGGCGGCGCCACCUUCGCCGACAGGCCGCCGCCGGUCGACCCCACCCGCAUGUUCACGUCCGGGGGACGUGACAUCAGCUCCUCCUCCUACGGCCCCUACUGGCGCCUCCUCCGCCGGAACCUCGCCGGGGAGGCGCUCAGCCCGGCCCGUGUUGGUCUCUUCGCGCCGGCGAGGAGGUGGGCGUGCGACGGCCUCGUCUCCAGCCUCCUCAGCGAGCAGCAAUCCGCCGUGACGCUCAGGCCGCUCCUUCGCCGCGCCAUGUUCGAGCUGCUCCUGUACAUGUGCUUCGGCGCACGUCUCGGACGGGAAGCGCUCGACGAGGUGGAGGAGCUGCAGCACCAGGCGCUACUCUCGGUCACCACAUUCCCGGUCUUCGCCUUCUUCCCGGCGGUCACUAAGAGGCUCUUCGGCAGACGCUGGGCGGCGUGCCUCGCUGUGCGCAGGAGGCAGGACGAGGUAUUCGUCCCGCUCAUCCACGCGAAGCGUGGCGACGGUGACCCGCCGUGCUACGCCGACUCCCUCCUCGCCGUCCGGGUGGCCGACGAGGGCGGCCGCCAGCUCACUGACGCCGAGAUGGUCGCCCUCUGCUCCGAGUUCAUGAACGGUGGGACAGAUACCACGGUGACCUUGCUGGAGUGGAUCAUGGCCGAGCUCGUGCAACACCCCGACGUCCAGGCCAAGGUCUACGAGGAGGCGAAAGCCAAUCCAGAGCUCAACAACCUGCAGGCAAUGCCGUACCUGAAGGCCGUCGUGCUCGAGGGCCUUCGGCUGCACCCGCCAGGCCACUUCGUCCUCCCGCACGGCGUGCAGAGCGGCGACGCGGAGAUCGCGGCCUACGCGGUGCCCAAGGGAGCGGAGGUCAACUUCCUGGUAGCCGAGAUUGGCCGCGACGAGACUGUGUGGACGGCGGCGCGGGAGUUCCGGCCGGAGAGGUUCCUGGAGGGCGGCGAGGGGCACGGAGUGGACAUCACGGGGAGCAGGGAGAUCAAGAUGAUGCCUUUCGGCGCAGGCCGCAGGAUGUGCCCGGGGUACACGCUGGGCAUGCACCACGCCGAGUACUUCGUGGCGAGAAUGGUGAGGGAGCUGGAGUGGCGGCCGGCAGCUGAGGGGGUGAAGGUGGACAUGGCGGAGACGCUCGAUUUCACCACCGUGAUGAAGCACCCGCUCCGUUCGCUCAUCGUCUCCAGAAGCUAA